rnacentral:rRNA from 1 species
AUUGAACGCUGGCGGCAGGCCUAACACAUGCAAGUCGAGCGGAUGAAGGGAGCUUGCUCCUGGAUUCAGCGGCGGACGGGUGAGUAAUGCCUAGGAAUCUGCCUGGUAGUGGGGGAUAACGUCCGGAAACGGGCGCUAAUACCGCAUACGUCCUGAGGGAGAAAGUGGGGGAUCUUCGGACCUCACGCUAUCAGAUGAGCCUAGGUCGGAUUAGCUAGUUGGUGGGGUAAAGGCCUACCAAGGCGACGAUCCGUAACUGGUCUGAGAGGAUGAUCAGUCAAACUGGAAAUGAGAAACGGUCCAGACUCCUAAGGGAGGGAGCAGUGGGGAAUAUUGGAAAAUGGGCGAAAGCCUGAUCCAGCCAUGCCGCGUGUGUGAAGAAGGUCUUCGGAUUGUAAAGCACUUUAAGUUGGGAGGAAGGGCAGUAAGUUAAUACCUUGCUGUUUUGACGUUACCAACAGAAUAAGCACCGGCUAACUUCGUG